UACGUAGGGGGCAAGCGUUAUCCGGAUUUACUGGGUGUAGAGGGAGCGUAGGUGGCAAGGCAAGCCAGAAGUGAAAACCCGGGGCUUAACCCCGCGGAUUGCUUUUGGAACUGUCUGGCUGGAGUGCAGGAGGGGCAGGCGGAAUUCCUGGUGUAGCGGUGAAAUGCGUAGAUAUCAGGAGGAACACCGGUGGCGAAGGCGGCCUGCUGGACUGUAACUGACACUGAGGCUCGAAAGCGUGGGGAGCAAACAGG
rnacentral:rRNA from 1 species